UACGGAGGGUGCAAGCGUUGUCCGGAUUUAUUGGGUUUAAAGGGUGCGUAGGCGGUUUUCUAAGUCAGUGGUGAAAGGCAGCAGCUCAACUGUUAGCAUUGCCAUUGAUACUGGAGAACUUGAGUACAGAUGAGGUAGGCGGAAUUUAUGGUGUAGCGGUGAAAUGCAUAGAUACCAUAAAGAACACCGAUUGCGAAGGCAGCUUACUAAGCUGUAACUGACGCUGAUGCACGAAAGCGUGGGGAUCGAACAGG
rnacentral:rRNA from 1 species